AAGAGGCAACAUCUGCCCAUGGGUGUUGUGUUGGAGUCAGUAUCUGUGGAUUAAUUACCCCGAAGGCACCUGUCUACCCUUUCCACACACACACACACACACACACACACACACACACACACACACACACAGGCUAUGAAGACACAAACACACCCAGCGGACUUCAAAAUGUCACAACACCUUCCUUGCCAGUGCCAAAUAAUACCAGCGCUUCCAACCAAAGAGCCGUGGGUGUUGUUGGCCAAACCAGAGGCCCGCUGCCACUUCAGCUGGUCAUCGUCUCCUCCUCUGACUUCUGUCACAUGAUGGGGCAAGAAAACGAUCUGUCGGCAUGAGUAGUGUGACUGUUAACAGGUUAGGCUUAGCUUAGGGUUUAACUUAACAUUUGUUGUGUGAACAGUCUUGUUUGGAGUCAUUGCACGGACACACUGGAGUUACAGUGAAACAAAGACACGCCUCCCCUGAACUGGUCGGGGGUUAGGGUUCUGGUUUUUGUUCCUGAGAGCCCAACAGCUGCAGCAUUUCUUUAUAUUUUAAGUCUGAGCACAUCCUGUAGCUUCUACCCCUCCUGUGUCGACACAGUGACGGGGAAAUGUCCAGCCGCAUUUAGCAAGCAAGCUCCGUUUCACAUUUAGAUGAAAGAAGAUCCCUCCAGUGGUGUCCGUCCUUGGGCUUGCAGUGGCAGCGUUGGGCUUGAGCUUGUCUUCCAGCUUCCGUCGUGCCAUUAUGAACCCGAGGCAACACAACAUGAUGUAGUCGUGCUUCUGCUUUCACACCAACACGCUCAGAUGCAUUGAAACCUGAAUUCAUUUACAAUAUGUAGCAGCACUUUCAUUCAAUGUAGAGGCAGAGCUGUGCUUUAACCAAUCCUCCACCAGUUUCACUGUUUCACCGCUCAGGCUCCUUCGGAUUCAGGUCAGGGUCAGGGUCAGGGUCAGGGUCAGGGUCAGGAAAACAGUCCGUGCUGCAGAUGUGCAGGUCAGUCAACAAACAGACAAGAAGAGGUUUGUGACUUGGCGUAAACUGACUGCUUUUUUUCUUAAAUUCUGGUUUUCAUCUUAACGCUGGUAUGGACAGGCCAUUUCAAGUCUGAAACCCGUAUCAAGCUCUAAAACACCAUGAUCUAAGGUACACAUGAUGUGAAGUAAACCCAGAAAACAGGCCCACUGUGCAAUGAAGCUCCAUCCAGUGUUCAGCUGGAGCAGAACCGUUCGAUCAGGCGCUCUGCUUGUGCUUCGUUCUCACUCUUUCAGCACAUAGAAGAAAAAAAAAGCCGUCAGGAUCAAAAAAUCUGUCCCGUCUCACAAACAAACUCUUGAUUUCCUCACGCAGGCCCUGUCUUUUCGACGUGACCCUCUGCAGCUGUAAAGCAGUUGGUGGUUUAUAAGGUGAAGACUGGACCGUCGUUACCAGGAGGAGUGUGUUUGUGCUCUUCACAGCCUUCUUCACUCAUGAAUUACAAAAAACCCAACAAACAAGAGGCUGGAACAUAAUUCAUGUCCUGCUUGAGCUCUGACAAUAAAUAAUAAAGUCCCGCAGGCUGCAGUGAAGGAGAGGUCUGUGGGUAACCGAGUCUGUUUGGUUUGGGCUUUUUAACUAAAUGGACAAUACAAUCAGUGGUCCAUUCAGGUAGCACAGGUGCAGCUGUGUGGCUGCUUUCCUGGGCAGCAGGUGGUGGUACAAAAGACGUUUUAGCACCUUGUGCCUCGACACAACCUUAGCAACAUAAAAAAAGCUGUUAAAACGUCAAAGCUGCAGCCAGAUGAAGAACUCCUCCGACUGAGCUUCAGUCCCGUUUACAGCUUCAGGGCCAAAGUUUCCCCAAAGUCAGACUCACAUCAGCUCCAGUCCCGUCUUCUGUUUUAUUUGCUGAAAUAUUCAUGCUUCACAUUAACUUUUAGAAGUCGAGUUGCUUUUGAGUCAUCUUCUGAGAUUCUGCUCCCGCUCAGCCGGGCCAGCUGAUGUAAUGAGCACCGGGCCUGUGCAGGAGAUCUGCUGCUGGACGGGGAGUCAGAGCUGCACACGGCGCUAACGAACGAACGUGGCUCGACUGGAGGAGGCAGAGCUCACGCUGGUACAUUCAAACGUCCGCGCACUCAACCCUCCAAUGUCCACUGAACCCACUUGUUUACUAACCAACUGGUCCCAUACUGUACAGGUCACCUACAGCCACGUCUACCAAACCCCUCAGAGUGUGUUUGAUGAGUGAGUGUGUGUCUGUGUGUGAGUGUGAGUGAGUGUGUGUGAGUGUGUGUGAGUGUGUGUGAGUGUGUGUGUGUGAGUGUGUGUGAGUGUGUGUGUGUGAGUGUUUGAUGUGCGUUACUGAGCUCUGUAGGUAAACACGUAUCUGCUGUAACUCCCUCACUGUUGUGAUAAUUUAUUGAACGUUGUAUUUAUACAUGACCAUGAUAAUAAAGCACCACAUGAGUAACUC